CGUGUCAUCUCACGCAGACCUGACUGGCACUGGUGAUUAUUGGCGUCAUUUUCUUAACAAACUAAUCUGGCAUUUGUCAUAACUGAAAACUUCAUGGUUGAUGUACUUAUAAUGUACAUUUUUUACAGUUAUUUAUAUUUUAUAGAAAACAAAAUGGCUAAAAUGAGGGUUAUGCAUUGCAUAUGAAGUAGGCAGGUUUUAGCAAUCUAAAUCGAAGGCAGAAUGACUUGGCGAGCUCUCACAAAUAAUGGUAGAAUAAUGCAUCUUCUUCUAUGUCCAAUAGGUCCUGUAAUUAAAUUUAAAUUAAGCUGAAUUCAGUAAUGACUAAUUCAGAUCUAUGUGUAGAGUGCAAAUUCAUGUUUAUAAAAACUUUGAUCAUGUAUUGCAUGCUGCUGUCAUAGUAUGAUUUCAUUAGGAACAGAAUGAAAUGUGACAAAAACAUCACAGUAUUUUUGUUUGCUUCCAUAUCUGCUUCGUUUCCAUAUUAGCUACAUUUAAAUUCAUUUAUCAAAAAUUAGUUAUGCACCAACAUAAUAUUCUCUUGGCCUUAUAUUAAGACAGACAUCUGUGCCCCUUUUGCUAAUUAAUCUCAAAUAGUCUACCUUAUGUUUAAUACCACAUGCAGUUAAUAACACUCCAUUCAAUGGAAGCACUUCUCAGGACUGUAGAUACUUCAGAUAACCUAGACUUUUAACUAAGUUUUGUUCAGUGAUGGAAGAUUUUGUUGAGUUCUUUCUUUGAGGUUCUCACAGCAGCAUGGCAGUGUUGUUUCGUGUUGUGAUGCAGUGCAGACUUAUAUGGAAUUUUUAGACAAAAGUUACUAUAAUCAGAUGGACAGGCCUCCCACAACUUCAUGGUUAACCAACAAUAUUCUACAACAAAGGUUACAUAACACAACUUAAACAUCCCCCUAGGGAUGAUUUAGAAUGCAGUGGCAUAAAAACGGUGGAUCUAAACUGAAGUUUGACAUGAGAUGACUACUAAUAUACACUGUGUACUUUCAAUUAUUUAUGUUUUAUUGGUUUCCUCAAAGCGGUGUUAACAUACUAGCAUGUAUUAAUCAACAAAAUUAUAAAAAAAUUAGGAUAGAUUAUUCACCGUCACUUAUUAAGGUAGAUGUGAUGUAGAUGAAAUCAAUGAUGAUUAAAUUCAAUUUAAUGCUUAUAAA